rnacentral:rRNA from 1 species
UACGAAGGGGGGCUAGCGUUGCUCGGAAUCACUGGGCGUAAAGCGCACGUAGGCGGAUUGUUAAGUCAGGGGGUGAAAUCCUGGAGCUCAACUCCAGAACUGCCUUUGAUACUGGCGAUCUCGAGUCCGGGGAGAGGUGAGUGGAACUGCGAGUGUAGAGGUGAAAUUCGUAGAUAUUCGCAAGAACACCAGUGGCGAAGGCGGCUCACUGGCCCGGUACUGACGCUGAGGUGCGAAAGCUAGGGGAGCAAACGGGG